GCUCCCAUAGUUUAAUGGAUAGAACGUAAGCUUCCGGAGCUUAUGAUCGAGGUUCGAUUCCUCGUGGGAGCA
rfam:Candidatus Kaiserbacteria bacterium RIFCSPLOWO2_01_FTLL_54_13 rifcsplowo2_01_scaffold_11338, whole genome shotgun sequence.